rnacentral:rRNA from 1 species
AUGGGUGAUGAGACGAGCCCGGCCCCGACGCCGAUGGGGAUGCCCCCCUGCGUGCUGCGUCGUCAAGACAAGCGCUGGAAGAGCGUCAUUAUUGGAGUUGCUUCUGGGACGGGCCUUGUACUUUUGGCUCUCAUUGCAUUCCUUGUUUUCAACAAAUUUAAGUGCCGGAGGGCCCAAAUGUUGGAAGGGAAGUACUUCCAGCGAAACCGUGGGCAAUUGCUGCAACAAUUGGCAUCUCAAAGAGCUGAUGUUUCAGAGAAAAUGAUCAUGACCUUGCAAGAGCUAGAGAAGGCAACAAACAAUUUUGAUCAUGGUCAUGAAAUUGGUAGUGGUGGGCAUGGCACCGUGUAUAAAGGGAUUUUGUCAGACCUCCAUGUUGUAGCUAUUAAAAAACCAAAGAUGGUAUCUCAAAGGGAGAUUGAUGAGUUUAUUAACGAGGCUGCUAUCCUAUCACAAAUUAACCACAAGAAUGUGGUAAAACUAUAUGGUUGUUGCUUUGACACGGAAGUCCCACUAUUAGUCUACGAGUUCGUAUCCAAUGGAACUCUUCGUGAUCAUCUUCAUGUUGAAGGACCGAUAUCAUUAUCAUGGGAUGACAGACUACGAAUAGCAACGGAAACGGCUAGAUCUCUAGCCUAUCUUCACUCAGCAACUUUAAUACCAAUCAUCCAUGGAGAUAUCAAGCCUGCUAACAUACUUCUGGAUGAUACUCUAACAACAAAGAUAGCAGACUUUGGAGCUUCAAGAUACAUUCCAUUGGACAAAUCAGGGUUAACAACAAUGGUGCAAGGCACACUAGGAUAUCUAGACCCAGUGUAUUUGCACACAGGGCGCCUCACAGCAAAAAGUGAUGUUUAUAGCUUUGGUGCUAUGCUUAUAGAACUGAUGACCAGAAAGAAGCCAUUUGAUUAUAUGGCUAGCGAAGACAAUAUCCUUGUGGAACAUUUUGCUACCUUAUUUGCAGAAGGCAAUUUGUCACUAACAUUAGAUCCACAAGUUAUGAAUGAGGGUGGUAACCUAAUUGAAGAAAUCGCUGGAAUUCCAGUAGCAUGUGUGAAAUUAAGAAGGAGGGAACGACCAACCAUGAGAGAAGUGGAAUUGAGAUUGCAAGUCACUCAAUCAUCUAGGGGAUUUAAGGCGAAUGUUAAUACUGUAGUAGAUUCUCCGUUACAUAGAGAUGAAAGAAUCAAAGAGGGGUUGACUAGCAGACAAUAUAGUAUGGAAGAAGAGUAUAUGUUAUCUGCAAGAUAUCCGCGGUAG